UCGGGAAUUUUGGGCAAUGGGCGAAAGCCUGACCCAGCAACGCCGCGUGAAGGAUGAAGUAUUUCGGUAUGUAAACUUCGUAAGAAUAGGAAGAAUAAAUGACGGUACUAUUUGUAAGGUCCGGCUAACUACGUGCCAGCAGCCGCGGUAAUACGUAGGGACCAAGCGUUGUUCGGAUUUACUGGGCGUAAAGGGCGCGUAGGCGGUGUGUCAAGUCAGUUGUGAAAUCUCCGAGCUUAACUCGGAACGGUCAACUGAUACUGUCACACUAGAGUACAGAAGGGGCAAUCGGAAUUCUUGGUGUAGCGGUGAAAUGCGUAGAUAUCAAGAGGAACACCUGAGGCGAAGGCGGGUUGCUGGGCUGAUACUGACGCUGAGGCGCGAAAGCGUGGGGAGCAAACAGGAUUAGAUACCCUUGUAGUCCCUGAGCGGGC
rnacentral:rRNA from 1 species